rnacentral:rRNA from 1 species
AUGGAGCAAUUGAAGAAGAGGAUGGAUGCUGCUGAACAACAAAUCAAAGGGCUGCGUGAAGAUCUUAAUAGGAGAUUUGACCAGCUGGUUGAGAUGAUAAGAAAGGGUGUCCCCCCUGCUACCAAUGAAGGAGAUUCAUCUAAAGAAGAGGAAGAUGUUCAUCAAGGAAGAAGGAGAGGUAAUCUUGGAGCAACACCGCCACGACAACAUGUUGUUCAACGUGCUUCAAGAAGGCCAAUUUAUGUUGAGGCUUCUGAAGGUGAAGAAUAUGAUGAUGCCCUUGAAGAACCAAAUCUCUACGCAUAUCGGAGAGCACCCAACCCUACAUAUGCAAGAGAUACAUACAAGGUGAAAGCUGAGAUCCCAAGUUUUAAUGGAAAUGUUGACAUUGAAGGGUGCCUGGAUUGGUUAUAUGAAGUGGAGACUUUCUUUGAGGUCAUGGAGGUUCCGGAAGAUCGUAGAGUUCCUUUGGUCGCAUACAAGCUGAAAGGAGGAGCUGGUGCAUGGUGGCAUCACGUUCAAGAGGAACGCAGGCUGAGAGGAGAACCUCGUGUUAGAACUUGGCGACAAAUGAAAGGCCUCUUGAAAGGGAGAUUUUUGCCCGCUGAUUAUGACCAGAUCCUAUUUAUCCAAUUUCAAAAUUAUGCUCAAGGAAAUAGGACUAUUUCAGAUUACACGGAAGAGUUUCUAAGGCUACAAGUGAGGUGCAACCUUGCUGAAACUGAAGAGCAACAAGUUGCAAGGUACAUCAAUGGUCUCAAUGAUGCUAUUCAAGAUCGAUUGAUGAUGCAACAAAUCUAG